ACGCUGGCGGCGUGCCUAAUACAUGCAAGUAGAACGCUGAAGAGAGGAGCUUGCUCUUCUUGGAUGAGUUGCGAACGGGUGAGUAACGCGUAGGUAACCUGCCUUGUAGCGGGGGAUAACUAUUGGAAACGAUAGCUAAUACCGCAUAACAAUGGAUGACACAUGUCAUUUAUUUGAAAGGGGCAAUUGCUCCACUACAAGAUGGACCUGCGUUGUAUUAGCUAGUAGGUGAGGUAACGGCUCACCUAGGCGACGAUACAUAGCCGACCUGAGAGGGUGAUCGGCCACACUGGGACUGAGACACGGCCCAGACUCCUACGGGAGGCAGCAGUAGGGAAUCUUCGGCAAUGGGGGCAACCCUGACCGAGCAACGCCGCGUGAGUGAAGAAGGUUUUCGGAUCGUAAAGCUCUGUUGUAAGUCAAGAACGAGUGUGAGAGUGGAAAGUUCACACUGUGACGGUAGCUUACCAGAAAGGGACGGCUAACUACGUGCCAGCAGCCGCGGUAAUACGUAGGUCCCGAGCGUUGUCCGGAUUUAUUGGGCGUAAAGCGAGCGCAGGCGGUUUGAUAAGUCUGAAGUUAAAGGCUGUGGCUCAACCAUAGUUCGCUUUGGAAACUGUCAAACUUGAGUGCAGAAGGGGAGAGUGGAAUUCCAUGUGUAGCGGUGAAAUGCGUAGAUAUAUGGAGGAACACCGGUGGCGAAAGCGGUUCUCUGGUCUGUAACUGACGCUGAGGCUCGAAAGCGUGGGGAGCGAACAGGAUUAGAUACCCUGGUAGUCCACGCCGUAAACGAUGAGUGCUAGGUGUUGGAUCCUUUCCGGGAUUCAGUGCCGCAGCUAACGCAUUAAGCACUCCGCCUGGGGAGUACGACCGCAAGGUUGAAACUCAAAGGAAUUGACGGGGGCCCGCA
rnacentral:rRNA from 1 species